CUCCGGUUGAUCCUGCCGGACCCGACUGCUAUCGGAUUGAGAUUUAGCCAUGCGAGUCGAACGUUCCCCUGUUGCGGGGAGCGUGGCGGACGGCUCAGUAACACGUAGUCAACCUAACCUAUGGACGUGGAUAACCUCGGGAAACUGAGAAUAAACCGCGAUAGAUCAUUAUGCCUGGAAUGGCUUAUGGUUCAAACAAUUUAUUGCCGUAGGAUGGGACUGCGGCCUAUCAGCUUGUUGGUGAGGUAAUGGCCCACCAAGGCUAUAACAGGUACGGGCUCUGAGAGGAGAAGCCCGGAGAUGGGUACUGAGACACGGACCCAGGCCCUAUGGGGCGCAGCAGGCGAGAAACCUUAGCAAUGUGCGAAAGCACGACUAGGUUAAUCCGAGUGAUUUCUGUUGAAGAAAUCUUUUGUCAGUCGUAAAACCACAGACGAAUAAGGGGUGGGCAAGUCUGGUGUCAGCCGCCGCGGUAAUACCAGCACCUCGAGUGGUCAGGAGGUUUAUUGGGCCUAAAGCAUCCGUAGCCGGCUACGCAAGUCUCCGGUUAAAUCCAGCUGCUCAACAGAUGGGCUGCCGGAGAUACUACAUAGCUAGGGAGCGGGAGAGGUAGACGGUAUUCUGUGGGUAGGGGUAAAAUCCACUGAUCCAUAGAGGACCACCAGUGGCGAAGGCGGUCUACCAGAACGCGUUCGACGGUGAGGGAUGAAAGCUGGGGGAGCAAACCGGAUUAGAUACCCGGGUAGUCCCAGCUGUAAACGAUGCAAACUCGGUGAUGCAUUGGCUUAUGGCCAAUGCAGUGCCGCAGGGAAGCCGUUAAGUUUGCCGCCUGGGAAGUACGGACGCAAGUCUGAAACUUAAAGGAAUUGGCGGGGAGCA
rnacentral:rRNA from 1 species